AGUUAAUGAACUUGUAAAAGUAUAUAUUUUGAAAAUAUAAAAAAGAAAUUCAAAUUUUCUAUUAACUU
rnacentral:tRNA from 1 species